GUACUUGCUUCAGCAGCACAGAUACAAAAACUGGAAUGAUACCGAGAAGAUUAGCAUGGCCCCUGUGUAAAAAUGACAUGCAAACUCGUGAAGUGGCCCACAUUUUU
rnacentral:snRNA from 1 species